UGGGGAAUAUUGGACAAUGGGCGCAAGCCUGAUCCAGCCAUGCCGCGUGAGUGAUGAAGGCCCUAGGGUUGUAAAGCUCUUUCACCGGUGAAGAUAAUGACGGUAACCGGAGAAGAAGCCCCGGCUAACUUCGUGCCAGCAGCCGCGGUAAUACGAAGGGGGCUAGCGUUGUUCGGAUUUACUGGGCGUAAAGCGCACGUAGGCGGACUAUUAAGUCAGGGGUGAAAUCCCGGGGCUCAACCCCGGAACUGCCUUUGAUACUGGUAGUCUUGAGUUCGAGAGAGGUGAGUGGAAUUCCGAGUGUAGAGGUGAAACUCGUAGAUAUUCGGAGGAACACCAGUGGCGAAGGCGGCUCACUGGCUCGAUACUGACGCUGAGGUGCGAAAGCGUGGGGAGCAAACAGG
rnacentral:rRNA from 1 species